rnacentral:tRNA from 1 species
GCCAGGAUACUCAAGCGGUCAACGAGGGCAGUCUGUAAAACUGCUGGCAAUAGCCUACGUAGGUUCGAACCCUACUCCUGGCAC